UUUUAAAUUAAAGUGCAGUUCUGCAUAGUUUGAAGAAAUACUGAAUUCAUUUUUAUACGGAACGCGAUUAUCGUAACUCACGCGAUUAAUCACAGCUAAAGGAACUGAGAGUGGAGUAAAGGGGGGGAAAAAAUUACAAGCCAGGAGUGGGUGAGGUCAUAGUUUGGCUACACCUUGUUCCAAUUACAAUAUCCUGUGUGUGUGCAUGUCUGAGAGAUUGAAUGGUCCCUCAGUUAUUUGUAAGACGAGCUGUGUAGCGGAGAGGGGAAAAAGGGGUUAGGACUGCACCGAAAUAUUCUUGAAUAAGUAAUAACUCCCUGUCUGAACGCUUGUUUCCAUUUGAUCCAACACACAAGUACCUUGUCUGAAGCUGGUGUCAAAAGGUCGUGAUACAUUUGCAUCCAGGCCAUUAACGAUUGGCUGCAGACUCAGGUCCAUCACCUGGUGGAGGCGCAGUUUCCGACAGUAAAUGGAGGCCGCCUCUGGUUCCAGAGCGAUGAGGAGUUGCUCGGGACAGUCUGGGGACACCAGACCCGCCUGCGAGGGGGAAAGGAAGACCAAAGGAAAUGGAGGACAUCAAGUUCAAUGGAAGAUCUCAAAUUUCCAAGCAGUUGUAAGUAUAUGAUAGGAUGGGGAUGGACUGGAGGUCAACCAGAAGAGGUCAAAAGGUCACGCUGGGUAAACUACAGUCAUGCGCAAGAUGUAAGGCACCUGUCAACUUUACGAGGGCUCAUAAACAUAGGGUGAAGGGUGAUGGCGGGGUAGGCUAAUUAGAAUGGUCUAUACUGUACAUACGGUAGGCGUGUGUGGGGGUUAACACUGGGCGGUGUCUGCUCACAACUUCCCGUGUUUGUGUACCGGUCUCGCUCAUUGUUCCCUGCUGAUGACAUCAUGACCAGCAGGAAGCACGCGUGCACACACCCGAGAACUGUCCAAAGCGUGCGUCCACGUGAUAUUGUUUACGGAGUAGAUGUAGAUGCUAUAUUGUUUGGAAGUUUGCAGCACUAACCAGGUAUGCGGCCUCCCUCAUGAACUGUUUGGCGGGUUGUCGCCACACGGCAGGAACGGUGAUCACCCAUCUGAUAUCGUCUCCCUCUAGCAGGGUGGAGGUCUGCUCCUUCACUUCCUAAAACGAGGAGCUGUCAUGACCUUUUCGGUUCAAUCGCAAAUGUGCAAUACUCCAGUGUCCUACUUUAAGUGCGUGCUCCCUGAAGAAGCGCAGAGCGUGAGCAAACACCUCAAUGGCUCUCACCCGCCGACCAUUAACCGCCUCCAGCUCUGUCUCCAUUGUGAGAUCCUAGGUUUUUUUAAAAAAGUGCUUUUUUAGUUUGCAUUGUCCUACAGUUUUUGCCCAUUUAAAAAAAAGCACAAAAGUUCCCGAGAUAGUUAAGCAGUGUCUGACCAAGUCGUGAUAGCAAUUACUUAUACUGCAACGGUAUCAGUUAAAAACUAGUCUGGAGUCCGCUUACACAAGCACUAUGGAUCUUCAUCUUGAAUUUAUCAAAGUAGAGCCAGUGCCGGGAUUCGUCCGGAUCAAGGUCAUGGUAAAAGUCCCGAGCUGCGAACCCAAAACUGUGGAAGCGCAAGUCAGGACUCAGCAGCAGACAAGUGGGGCUCUUCUGAUUGGCCACACCAGGGUCCCCGCCUUCCCAGCGCCUGUCCGCAACAGAAGAGAUUUGAAUAGAUUAGAUAAAAUAGAUUACCGUUUUUUUCAGACUAUAAAUCGCCACUGAGUAUAAAUUGCACCUGCCUAAAAAUGCACAAUGAAGGAGAAUAAAAACAUAUAAGUCGCAUUUUUGCACAACGUCGCAUGGAGAUCGCGGACAGUGCCUCUGGAUUGGCAAACUGGGGUGGUGGUCCCCCUUUUUAAGAAGGGAGACUGGAUGGUGUGUUCCAAUUAUAGAGAGGCCAUACUCCUCAGCAUCCCCAGUAAAGUCAUGGUUGCUGGAGGGGAGGGUCCGUCAGGCGGUCGAAUCUCAGAUUCAGGACGAGCGGGGUCAUUUUUGUCCUGGCUGUGGAACAGUGGACCAGCUCUAUACCCUUGGUAGGGUCCUUGAGGGUGCAUGGGAGUUUGCCAACCAGUCUACGUGUGUUUUGUGGAUUUGGAGAAGGCGUUCGACCGUGUCCCUCAGGGAGUCCUUUGGGAGAGUGCUUCAGGAGUACAGGUACCAAGCCCCUUGAUAAGGGCUUUCUGAUCCCUUUACAACCGGUGUAAGAGUUUGGUCCGCAUUGCCAGCAGUAAGUCGAAUCCGUUCCCAGUGAGGGUUGGACUCGGCCAUGGUUGCCCUUUGCCAACGAUUCUGUUCAUAAGUUUUGUGUCCUCAGCACUGCAUCUCUGCUUUUUGCAGAUGAUGUGGUGUUGGCUUCAUCAAGCCGUGACCUCCAACUCUCACUGGAGCGGUUCGCAGCCGAGUGUGAAGCGGUCGGGAUGAAGAUCAGCACUUCCAAAUCCGUGAUCAUGGGCCUCAGUCGGAAAGGGGUGGCAUGCCUUCUCUGGGUCGAGGAUGAGCUCCUUCGCCAAGCGGAGGAAUUCAAGUAUCUUGGGGUCUUGUUCACGAGUGAGGGCAGGAGGGAGCGAGAGAUGAGAGAGAGGCGGAUCGGUGCAGCGUCUGCAGUGAUGCGGACUCUGCAUAGGUCGGUUGUGGUGAAGAAGGAGUUGAGCCAAAAGGCGAAGCUCUCGAUUUACCAGUUGAUCUACGUUCCUACCUUCACCUAUGGUCAGAAGCUGUGGGUCGUGACCGAAAGAACAAGAUCCUGGAUACAAGCGGCUGAAAUGAGUUUCCUCCACAGAGUGUCUGAGCUUAGAGAUAGGGUGAGAAGCUCGGCCCUCCAGGAGGGACUCUGUGUUAAGCCGCUUCUCCUCCAUGUUGAGAGGAGCCAUUUGAGGUGGCUCGGGCAUCUGGUUCAGAUGCCUCCUGGACGCUUCCCUGGAGAGGUGUUCCGGGCAUGUCCCACCGGCAGGAGGCUCUGGGGAUGACCCAAGACACUCUGGAGAGACUACGAUUCAACUCCGGAUGGAUGGAUGGGUGGAUGGAUGGAAAAUCCAACACCAAGAACAGACAUGUCAUUUUGAAAGGCAAUUUAAAAUAAAAAUAGAAUGUUACAUGACUCAUAAACAACAUCCUCAGAAUGUGCCUGUUAUGUUAUGGUAACAUAGCUAUUAAGAGUUAUUGUGAUAACUAUAGUGUAAAGAACAUGUUAACAAGUUUACCAACUAUCAUCUUGCGGUUUAGUGGGAAAAUAGCAUGUGAAAUGAUGUAAUAAUGUGUUAAUAAUUUAACUCAUAAGUCGCACCCUUGCCAAACUAUGAAAAAAAAAAAAACCCCGACUUAUUGUCCGAAAAAUACGGUAAACUCCAGGAAGCUCUUUACUUACUUCAUCAUGUGUAUGGCAUCAGAGUCUUCUGUGAAGCUGAAAGCGUAGCCGCUUGACGUUGUCCCAAAGUCAAUCGCCACAACCACAGAGAACGGACAAGCCAUCCUUGGUCUGGCCUCCGCCCUCUAGAGGCAAAAAUGACUAUUUUAAGACCAUCAGAAUGUGUCUGAGUAUACAUGUAAACUGAAUCUACAAAAUGAAAAAUAUUCUCAGGUGGUGUCGUUACCGGCGAGGGUGACGGUGUGAGCGGAGUGAUGGCGCAGUCAUUUCUCGAAGCAGCCGACGAUGAGGCAACUGAUAAACUAUCACCUACAAAGAAGAAAAAACCUUACAUUGGAAAAUCAAGAUCACUUGAUGGCGCCAUAGAGCAAAUGAACCACCAUGAAGCGUUGAAUCAAUUGGCUGCUAUGCUUCAUUGCUUCAAGAAGCUUCAUUUGGCAAUCACUGCUCAAUAUAAUCUAUCAAACCCGUUGGGAGUGACAACCUCUGCUGCCACUUUCUGCCAACACUGUGGGAGUACAACAUGCCUCAUGCCUCCCAGCAUGUAUUGCUGCACUCCAGAUGUUGGAAACUAAAUAUUUCGUAUAUGUAGCCUAUUGGCUAGCAUUCCUGGCAUCCAAUUGGCUAAAAGGGGCCUCUACUGUAUGUGCAUGUGUGUAUCCCAGCGUCCUCUCUUCAUCUCGUGUUCCGACAGCUUUACAUCCAG